ensembl:lncRNA
AUCUUGCUGGAGAGACCUGUGUUCCUGAGGCCUUCUAAAGAAGUUCUGACUUCAGAGAAGCAAACAAGAAAACUGUCUUAAUUAAUCCAAUAUAUUUUGUUGAGCAACUGUUUACGUCUACUAGCCUUCUCAGCAGUGUAUAUAUGUCAAAGUAUUUGCCCUUUUGUGUAGGGGCAUGGUACUUAAUUAAGGCAACAUAAUGCAAAAAUAAUUUUCUGGAAUUACAAACGUUUUUUCUAUAUUCUCACUGCUUCCAUUCAUCUCCUGUCCCUAAAGCAUAUUCUUUUUUUUUUUUUUUAAUUUACAUCCAUUCCACUGUGAAGUAAUAGAGGCAACUUUCCAGAAGUCUUUUAGAUUAUUUUGGCACUGCUUAUUAGUGAUAAUUUCUCCAUCAGGUCCCUUUCGUCUGUCUUGCAUCAGCAAUCAUUUUUAGCACCUGACUUUUACUGGGCACUUGGCCUAAAACUUCUUCUGGUUGUUUUCAGUGACCUGAAUUUCAAAACCUGAAGGUAGUGGAAGCUGUGGUGCUAAGCAGCUAUGGAAAACGAAGACAAAAUUAGCUAACAUGAAUAUAGUCUACUUAGGCUUUUGUCUGCAAAAACAAUUUCAAUUUUGGUUCCAAAAACUCUGUAGUGACUUGCCUUUCUCACCAAGCUCUAUUUUGUAGUGCACAUUCCAGGCAAGGCACCAGCACACCUGUCAAUACUCUUCUGCUCUUUCAAGGUUGCUGGCAGUCCAGUAACUUGUGAUAUUAGACCCUCUCUAAUAGAUUCAUACGUAGUUAAUUAUGAAGGGCUGUUUUCCUUGACGACAGCCAGAAUUUAAAGCUUUCUAAAAGUCACUUUUCUAUAUGUAUCUGAAUUCUCUGCUCCCAAAAGAUGAGGGUUGUGCAGUUUGCUGCUCAUCCAUACUGCAGAUGGUAGCAGUGCCCAUUUCUAUAGAACCAACUUACAUAAACCCUGAUGUGGAGAAUCAAUCCUUUGGAAUUAAAGGUUAAUUAAAGGUCUCACGCUUUUUGAAUUCUACUUUUUCUAACAACAGUGCUGAUUUAGUUUCAUUGAGAAUUCAAAUAAAGCCAACUUGCCAGC